rnacentral:rRNA from 1 species
ACGAACGCUGGCGGCGUGCCUAAUACAUGCAAGUAGAACGCUGAAGAGAGGAGCUUGCUCUUCUUGGAUGAGUUGCGAACGGGUGAGUAACGCGUAGGUAACCUGCCUUGUAGCGGGGGAUAACUAUUGGAAACGAUAGCUAAUACCGCAUAACAAUGGAUGACACAUGUCAUUUAUUUGAAAGGGGCAAUUGCUCCACUACAAGAUGGACCUGCGUUGUAUUAGCUAGUAGGUGAGGUAACGGCUCACCUAGGCGACGAUACAUAGCCGACCUGAGAGGGUGAUCGGCCACACUGGGACUGAGACACGGCCCAGACUCCUACGGGAGGCAGCAGUAGGGAAUCUUCGGCAAUGGGGGCAACCCUGACCGAGCAACGCCGCGUGAGUGAAGAAGGUUUUCGGAUCGUAAAGCUCUGUUGUAAGUCAAGAACGAGUGUGAGAGUGGAAAGUUCACACUGUGACGGUAGCUUACCAGAAAGGGACGGCUAACUACGUGCCAGCAGCCGCGGUAAUACGUAGGUCCCGAGCGUUGUCCGGAUUUAUUGGGCGUAAAGCGAGCGCAGGCGGUUUGAUAAGUCUGAAGUUAAAGGCUGUGGCUCAACCAUAGUUCGCUUUGGAAACUGUCAAACUUGAGUGCAGAAGGGGAGAGUGGAAUUCCAUGUGUAGCGGUGAAAUGCGUAGAUAUAUGGAGGAACACCGGUGGCGAAAGCGGCUCUCUGGUCUGUAACUGACGCUGAGGCUCGAAAGCGUGGGGAGCGAACAGGAUUAGAUACCCUGGUAGUCCACGCCGUAAACGAUGAGUGCUAGGUGUUGGAUCCUUUCCGGGAUUCAGUGCCGCAGCUAACGCAUUAAGCACUCCGCCUGGGGAGUACGACCGCAAGGUUGAAACUCGAAGGAAUUGACGGGGGCCCGCACAAGCGGUGGAGCAUGUGGUUUAAUUCGAAGCAACGCGAAGAACCUUACCAGGUCUUGACAUCCCGAUGCUAUUUCUAGAGAUAGAAAGUUACUUCGGUACAUCGGUGACAGGUGGUGCAUGGUUGUCGUCAGCUCGUGUCGUGAGAUGUUGGGUUAAGUCCCGCAACGAGCGCAACCCCUAUUGUUAGUUGCCAUCAUUCAGUUGGGCACUCUAGCGAGACUGCCGGUAAUAAACCGGAGGAAGGUGGGGAUGACGUCAAAUCAUCAUGCCCCUUAUGACCUGGGCUACACACGUGCUACAAUGGUUGGUACAACGAGUUGCGAGUCGGUGACGGCAAGCUAAUCUCUUAAAGCCAAUCUCAGUUCGGAUUGUAGGCUGCAACUCGCCUACAUGAAGUCGGAAUCGCUAGUAAUCGCGGAUCAGCACGCCGCGGUGAAUACGUUCCCGGGCCUUGUACACACCGCCCGUCACACCACGAGAGUUUGUAACACCCGAAGUCGGUGAGGUAACCUUUUGGAGCCAGCCGCCUAAGGUGGGAUAGAUGAUUGGGGUG